rnacentral:rRNA from 1 species
UUCGUAGCUGGUUUGAUAAGUCUCUGGGGAAAUCUGACGGCUCANCCGNUAGGCUUCUGGGGGAUACUGGCAAACUUGGAACCGGGAGAGGUGAGAGGUACUACAGGGGUAGGAGUGAAAUCUUGUAAUCCUUGGGGGACCACCUGUGGCGAAGGCGCCUUACCAGAACGGCUUCGACGGUGAGGGACGAAAGCUGGGGGAGCGAACCGGAUUAGAUACCCGGGUAGUCCC